ACCCUCGUAGAUGAAAUGGUACAUCACCCAUUGCACAUUAGUCGGUGCCCUGUGCCAACAAAAUUAAGUGGGAGGCGGAGGUUCGAAUCCUCCCGAGGGUA